AGAUACUGAUAGAGGGAUUGUAUUAUUGGACCCUACAGAAAGGACACAGUCUGUCACAGCUGUUGAAGAUGACGAUGAAGAGACCACAUCUGCUGUGACAGAAGUGGACAAUGCUGGUGGAUCCACUGAGUACAUACCUGGGGAUUUGCCCACAGAUGACGGUCCUUCAACCUCAAUGCACGAUCUAAGCAGUUUGCCAGCAAAGGAGCUGUAUAAGGUCCAUCUUCAAA